UACGUAGGGGGCAAGCGUUAUCCGGAUUUACUGGGUGUAAAGGGAGCGUAGACGGUAAUGUAAGUCUGAUGUGAAAGCCCGGGGCUCAACCCCGGCCCGCCGUUGAAACUGGCAGUCUCGAGUUGGAGAGAAGUAUGCGGAAUGCGCGGUGUAGCGGUGAAAUGCAUAGAUAUCACGCAGAACUCCGAUUGCGAAGGCAGCAUACCGGCGCCCAACUGACGCUGAUGCACGAAAGCGUGGGUAUCAAACAGG
rnacentral:rRNA from 1 species